AAUCAUUAACAUCGGUUCCUAAAAUGACCGGUGUUAAAAGUUUCGUUUGAAAAUUUGUGGGAACCUGAUUUUAGUGAAAGCGCUGAGUGUUUUAAGUGAAUUGAGGAAGCGGGUACUAAAACUUAAAACUUUCACAAUUAGACAAAAAUAGCGCCCGAUCCCAAAACUGGAACAGAUCGAAACCCUAAGCUCACUAGCUCAGUCUCAAGCUCCUCCUAAACUCGAGCUCCUCAUCUUCCUCGUCACUCAAAGUCGCCACCAUUGUUACCCUCAUUGCCUCCUUCAUCUACCUCCUUGGCUUCUUCGGCAUCGACUUCGUCCAGUCCUUUAUCUCACGAGCCUCCACUACGACGACGCCUGGGACGACGACGCCAUUGCGUCUUACUUUCUCGAAUUGAAGCUCGGCAACUGCAAGAGAGCGGCGGCGAUUCAGCGCGAGUGGCUUCUCAUCGCAGCUUCUCAUCUCCGAUCGGUAGUUUGUGGGUGGCUUCAAGAACGGUGAAUUUGUGGAGAAAGUCAAGUCCAUCUUGGAUUUUCUUCUUGGUCUACUCAAUUUAGUGAGUUCUCCAAAAUCAAGCUUUGCGCAUAAGCCCUUUUUGCAGCUCUCUAAACAAUACCAAUAUCAAUGGCUGCUUCUGUGACUGGUUUAUGUUUUGUUGUGGGUAGCAUCUAACAUUGGAAGCAUCUUAAACUUCCUAACUAUUGCCUUGUUGAUACUAAGUUGCUUGGAAGGAGCAGCAGGUUAAGAGUGGGUCUUCAAGGCGAAACUAGUGUUUAAUAGUGAAAUCCAACUGUUCAGUGGACAGUAAAGACGCGGAAAUCAUAUAGCCAAAACCAGAUUGACAAGGUGCGCAUUGAAAUGGCAGAUUAUAUACAGAGUUUAAUGUAGGACUUUUGACUACCAAGAUGAUUUUUGAGUAAGGCUAGUUUUUGCUUUGAAGCAAAGUUUGGUGUAGAACUUUUGUAGAUUGUUGCUCAUAUGUUUCUAGGCUAGUCUCUAUAGGUUUUGGGGUUUUGUUUUGUGACAUAUGUUGAAUUAUGAAUUUGGAAAGAAAAUUAAUGGAAAGCCCCAAUUUUUGGAUGACUAUGAAAUGCAUUUCUUUUCCC